CUAACCUGCCCACUGAAUUAAUUUUAAAGGGCCGCGGUAUUUUGACUGUGCGAAGGUAGCAUAAUCAUUAGUCUUUUAAUUGAAGGCUUGUAUGAAUGGUUGGAUGAAGUGAAUACUGUUUUAUAUUUAAUAAUUGAAUUUAGGUUUUUAGUAAAAAAACUUAAAUAUUACUAAGUGACGAGAAGACCCUAUAGAGUUUAAUAAUUUUAGUAAUUUAAUUAUGUUUAUAAAAAAAUUUUAGUUAUUAUGAAAUUUAUUUAAUUGGGGUGAUUAAAAGAUAAAAAUAACUCUUUUUAAAGUUUAAUAUUAUAAUUAGUUUUAUGAUCCAUUUAUAAUGAUUAAAAGAUUAAAUUACCUUAGGGAUAACAGCAUAAUUUUUUUUGAGAGUUCAUAUUGAAAAGGAAGAUUGUGACCUCGAUGUUGGAUUAAGAUAAAUUUUGGGUGUAGAUGUUCAUAAA
rnacentral:rRNA from 1 species